rnacentral:sRNA from 1 species
AUGUACAGUGACUUUGUUCUGACAAGUAUCGGAGAUCCAUUUUAUGACACAAUCAAAGCCCACGUUUUUGAAUAUUCCAUGUAUGUAUGGGCUGCCGGAGAUCUUAUUGAAGAACUGAUCGAUCUCUUGCUUUGGAUGCAAGAAUACACCAGGGCGUUCCGACAGAGGUUACUGGUCCCGUGUACUGAGACACUUAAACGACUUCUGGAACGUGGUGAAUCUGUUGUCGUUUCUUUUACUUACCAUUGCACUGUGUGUCCGUCAUGCAAAUCCAGAUCGUCCGACAUUCACUUUUGCUAGAAAUAUGUUUACUCUUUCUCUGCUUGUCAUGUACCUGAGAAUAUUAGAAGUGUUUUCAAUACACAGAAUAAUGGGACCCACCAUUAUAAUGAUCAAAGAAAUGCUGAAAGAUCUGCUAAGGUUCCUGUUUAUAGCUGUUUUUGUGGUAUUGGGAGUUGGAAUUUAUUACCACGCAAAUAUUUGGCCGGAUCA